rnacentral:hammerhead_ribozyme from 1 species
AUCCAGCUGACGAGUCCCAAAUAGGACGAAACAAGCGUCCUGGUU